AUGUACUUUUGUCACAAAGGUGGACUGAACCUUUUCUUGAAUCCCAGGGGCUAAAGAAAAAGAAAGAAAGAAAAGGAAGCCUUUAAAAGGUAUAGGAGGCUGGGCACGGUGGCUCCCGCCUGUAAUCCCAGCACCUUGGGAGGCUGAGGCAGGUGGAUGACCUGAGGUCAGGAGUUCAUGACCAUCCUGGCCAACAUGGUGAAACCCCAUCUCUACUAAAAAUACAAAAAAUUAGCUGGGUGUGGUGGCAGGUGCCUGUAGUCCCAGCUACUUGGGAGGCUAAAGCAGGAGAAUCGCUUGGACCUGGGAGGUGGAGGUUGCCCUGAGCCGAGAUUGCGCCAUUGCACUUAAACCUGGGUGACUCUGUCUCAAAAAAAAAAAAAAAAGAAAAAAGAAAAAAAAAUAAAUUCAACCUACAGGAGCAGUGAACUUCAGGCCUUCCACAGCAUACGUGUUUGGUCCCGUCCCUGCUGUCACACAUACCCCUGACCCAUUUAGGUAAAAACAACAGUGAAAUGGGAUAUCCUCAGCAGUUUCAAUGCUGGGGGAAGUCAAGCCUGCAUUUAUAAUAUAGGUUCUGGCUGUCCCAGAAAGUGAGGGGUCACUCCCAUAAGUCCUGCUCUCUCUGGGCCUCUGUCACCUACAUGUAGACCCCAGGCACGGGACUCUGAGCUCAGGAAUCUUUAUUCAACAUCUGUUCAUUGUGCCCUUCGGAUGGCUUUGCCAGGAGUGAGGCUGACGUUGUAUUGAAUGGGUGGGCUAGUAAAUGAAUGAAUGGAUGGAUCCACAGUCUCCGUGGAGUAUGCCGUCUGCUAUGGAGUUGUACAGAAAUCUGCACAGCCCAGGAAAAAGCCCUCUCUACACAGUUACUGGUCACACUGAGGCUCCCACAUGACAUGAUUCGUCUGGUACCCUGACCAGUGCAGUCAAGUUCUCCCUCCACGCGAGCCCCACAUGCCCACGGUCCUGUCUGUCUCAGCCGUCUCCUGUUCUGACACUCCUUGAGAACAGAGUCAGAGCACAGCUGGAGUGAAAAGACACCUGGGCAGAGGGUCCGUUUUCUCGUCUGUAAAAUGGGAAUAAUGGAUAAUAAACAUGCUCCUGCACACCUUCCCGGGUACCAGUCUCUGCCGAGGCAGUGGAGUGCAGUGGUUAAUAAAGAGAGGCUUCAGAGCAGACAGAACUGGGUUCAAACCCCAGCCCUGCCACUUCUUCUUAUCACCAUUAUUAUGUUUUCUUAGGUAAGUGACUUAAACUUACCUAGUCCCAGUCUCCUGACUCAGGCUGUUAAGGCAAACGGUGCUGGGAAGCGAUAGCCCACACCAUGCCUAGCAUAGUCACUGUUCGCAGUGAGCACCGCUUUUCUUGUUAAUGGAUUUCAAACACUUUAUGAACUGGAGUGCUGGGGUUACCACGGCGUGUUGAGGCACCACUCAAUUCUCCACUUCCCCUAGCGUACCGCAAGAAGUAUUCAAAACAGUCGGUCCAUGCCCCAAGAACUUGGACAUAAAACCACCACCGCAUCCCAGAGUUAAGGUGCCAAAUCAGAAAGGACCAUAGAUAAGGUAAACACGUCACCUUAAAGACACAGAGUGGCUCCCAGGCCCACAGGCCCCGACAGUGGGAGUCAGAGAGCGUUCACUCAUCAACCCAAGGGAUCAAACGGAAGCCGAGUUGGUGAGUAACAGACAGACAACGGGAGGUGGCUGAGGGAACCGCAGCCAGCCUUGGCAGCCAGGCCAGGGGCAGUCCAAGAGCAGAGACAGACACCCUGGGUGGUCUGAGCCCAACGCCAUGAAAUAUUUGAAUUAUGCAAUUCUCUUGGGAGCAAAAGAAGUCACGAACCAGAGGAAGUGAGGACGUAAGGCCCUGACAUCAAUCUUAUGCUCUGUCUCUCCAGGGUAUGGUCCGGAAGAGUAAGGCGGGGGACCAGACUCUCAACUGUGACUGGUUUACCAAGUGCCUGCCACCCUAUGCGGUGGGCUGGGGCCAGUCUAUUGGUCCCUCACGGAUGUUUCCUUCAAAAUCCCACUGGCAGAAAAUGUGCGCUGCAUGAGUGAUCCAACAGCCAGGCGAAGUGUGGUGACACUUCACCUGCUCAAAGACACCGCCUCGCCCACCUUCGGCCGCAGACGAACCAGGAUCUUCAAGGAAUAUUGCUUCAAGCAAAUAGGGGGGCAUGUCAGGCCGGCCCAACCUCACCACCUGGAGGCGGCCAUUGGUUGGUAGGCUUGAGGGUUAAUUUCAAUUUUCUUCUUCACAUUUUUUACACUUCGCAAAUUUUCUUUUCAUUUUCUUUUUCUUUUCUUUUUUUUUUUUUUUUGAGACAGAGUCUCGUUCUAUUGUCCAGGCUGGAAUGCGGUGGCUUGAUCUUGACUCACUGCAACCUCCGCCUCCCGGGUUCAAGUGAUUCUCCUGCCUCAGCCUCCUGAGUAGCUGGGAUUACAGGCACGUGCCACUGCGCCUGGCUAAUUUUUGUUUCUUGGGUUAUUUUUUUGAGAUGCAGUUUUGCUCUUGUUGCCCAGGCUAGAGUGCAAUGGCUCGAUCUCGGCUCACUGCAACCUCCGCCUCCCGAGUUCAAGUGAUUCUCCUAUCUCAGCCUCCCGAGUAGCUGGGAUUACAGGCAUGCGCCACCAUACCCGGCUAAUUUUUGUAUUUUUAGUUGAGAUGGGGUUUGACCAUGUUGUUCAGGCUGGUCUUGAACUCCUGACCUCAGGUAAUCCACCCGCCUCAGCCUCCCAAAGUGCUGGGAUUACAGGUGUGAGCCACCAAGCCCAGCCCCUUUUCCAAAUUUUCUACCAAAACAUUUAUUUUUGUUUUGUUUUGUUUUCAGACAGGGUCUCACUCUGAUGCCCAGGCUGGAGUGCAGUGGCACAAUCUCAGCUCACUGCAACCUCCGCCUUCCGGGCUCAAGCAAUCUUCCCACCUCAGUCUCCCAAGUAGCUGGGACUAUGGGCUUGUACCACUACGCCAAGCUAAUUUUUAAAAUUUUUAUUUUCAGUAGAGACGGGGUUUGUAUUUUUAGUAGAGACAGGGUUUCACCAUGUUGUCCAGGCUGGUCUUGAACUCCUGAGCUCAGGCAAUCCACCUGUCUCGGCCUGUCUCUGCCUCCUAAAGUGCUGGGAUUACAGGCGUGAGCCACCAUGCCCAGCCCAGAAACAUUUAUUACUUUUAAGAACAGAAAAUAGGCUGGGCAAGGUGGCUCACGCCUGUAAUCCCAGCACUUUGGGAGGCUGAGGUGGGCAGGUCACGAGGUCAGGAGAUCGUGACCAUCUUGGCCAACAUGGUGAAACCUCAUCUCUACUAAAAUAUUAAAAAAAAAUUAGCCAGGCAUGGUGGUGCAUGCCUAUAGUCCCAGAUACUCAGGAGGCUGAGGCAGGGGAAUCGCUUGAACCUGGGAGGCGGAGAUUGCAGUGAGCCGAGACUGCGCCACGGCACUCCAGCCUGGUGACAGAGCAAGACUCCGUCUCAAAAAGAAAAAAAAGAAGAAGAAGAAGAACAGAAAAUAUAGAUUACCAGAAGGACCAGGGGAUCACACACCUGAAAAAAGAUUUCUUGCUCAUUUGUUCCUUAGAUCUCCGCCAAGACUGCUGGCUCCAGGCUGCCAGCCACGUGCCUUGGGUACCCUACAAAUUCUGAGACCGGAUCCAAGAACCACACAACACAGAAUGAUACAGGAAUAUGAACCCAAAGGAUGCAGAGUCCCUAACUCAAACCCAGCCCUCAGGGGCCAGCUGUGCUCCAGGGUGCAGGGACAGAGAGACGCAAAGGCAACCCAGGCCGCUGUGGCUCCUGGGGCACACGGCCAGCAGUGGAAGUGGUGUCAGAAAGACAGAUGGAAACCUCCUCGCUGAAUGGGGCUGGGAACCACAGCGGUGGGACCAAGAGAGAGAACAGCUCAGACCUGAGAGUUACGCCUGUGUGUGAUCCAAGCUGUGACGUGUGUUUUAUUCACAGACAUAAAAGCUCAAAAUGAGGUAAAGUUUAUACAGGUGUCAGCCGUGGUGCCCACGACAGGGCCCACUUGUGUAUGGCCCCACUAACACAGCAGGAUGUAGCUGGUGCUCCUCGGGGGGAGAAAAGCUCCCAUGGGCAAAUCAGUUUGAGAAGCACUGAGACUUUUUUUUUUUUAGAUGGAGUCUCGCUCUGUUGGCUAAGCUGGAGUGCAGUGGCAUGAUCUUGGCUCACUGUAAUUUCCACCUCCCGGGUUCAAGUGAUUCUCAUGCCUCAGCCUCCCAAGUAGCUGGGAUUACAGGUGCGAACCACCACGCCUGGCUAAUUUUUGUGUUUUUAGUAGAGACAGGGUUUCUCCAUGUUGGCCAGGCUGGUCUUGAACUCCUGAUCUCAGGUGAUCUGCCUGCCUUGGCCUCUCAAAGUGCUGGGAUUACAGGCGUGAGCCACCACACCCAGCCAACACCAAGACUUUAAAAAAUGUAUUGUUCAUUCAUUCAUCACUCAAGUGAUCGGUGAAGACCGGGCCCCAAUAUGCAGUGUCCCUGCGACUAAUGUGACCGUGGAAACCUCUUGUUGGUACUGACACACAGGGUAGGGGCCCCACGGAAGUUCAUUUUUUUUUUGUUUUUUUUGAGACGGAGUCUCGUUCUGUUGCCCAGACUAAAGUGCAAUGGCGCAAUCUCGGCUCACUGCAACCUCUGCCUCCCAGGUUCAAGAGAUUCUCCUGCCUUCGCCUCCUGGGUAGCUGGGAUAACAGGUGGCCGCCACUACACCCGGCUAAUUUUUGUAUUUUUAGUAGAGAUAAGGUUUUGCCAUGUUGGCCAGGCUGGUCUCAAACUCCUGACCUCAGGUGAUCCACCUGCCUCAGGCUCCCCAAGUGCUGCAAUUACAGGUGUGAGCCACCGCGCCUGGCCUCAUUCAUUAUUUAGCAGGUAUGAGGUUAACGUGGAUAAGAUGAGAACAGCUGCACAAGCCCCAAGGAGCACCCAGCAAGUGUCGGCGAACGAUGGCACCCACGCACCCGCCCAGCAGGCAACAGCCGUGUACCUCCAGGUCGGAGUUGAUGGAGGAGACCUCAGAGGAGCUGCCGGAAGACACCCGGGCCCGGAUGACCUGAACGGGAGGGUACGACGGGGGGUCCUGCAGGGACGCAUCUCCGGCGCUCGUCUGCCCGUCACCUGGCAGCCUGGUGGCACUGCAGCCUGCCUGCAAGGUGUGUGAGAAAGGGCAGGCAAGGACACGUAGUUUAGUUUUGAUGGUUGAAUUGUCAAAGCAUUCACAUACUUCAGUGUUCAAAAUGUACAAAAGGGUGUGCAGGGCAGCAUCUACCUGUGCUCUCCUGCCCUGGCCAUCCAGCUCUCCCCAGGGCAGCCAGUGCCCUGUGUCUUGUGUAUCCCUCCAGAUACUCUAUACACAUACAACCAAAUCCACGUACACAUAUUUCCCCCGAUUUCCAAAAUGAUAGCACACACUCCAUUCUCUUAAGCACCUUGCUUUUUUUCACCUAACACUAUGCCUUAGAGAUAGUUCUGUAUCAGAAGAUUUGGGAGGUUUUUGGUAGCAUUUCAGGUGUUCCCAGUCUAUUAACCCAUCCCCUACUAAUGGGUGCUUAAUGUGUUUCCAGUCUCUUGCUUUUGCAAUCAAUACUGACUGCAGUAAAUUACACUGUACAUCCAAGAUUUCAGAGUAAAGGAUAAAUUCCCAGAGGCGGAAUUGCUGGAUUAAAGAGAGUAUGUACAUUUGAAAUCUGUAUAGCUACUGCUAAAAACGCACCCCAUAGAGGCCUUCCUCAUGCCCACCAGCAGGGGAUGAAAGUGAGUUGGGAUGAAAUAGGAAGGUUUAAGGUAGAAAGAAACUUGUGAGAUUUUCUAUGUAUCUAUGUAUCUAUCUAUGUAUCUAUCUAUGUAUGUAUCUAUCUAUGUAUCUAUUUAUGUAUCUGUCUAUCUACCAAUCUAUCUAUCUGUCUCAGACCAAAGCUUCCCCCCAUGGGCUCAUGGGGACUCCUCAGAGAUCUACAAAGCUCCACCAGCUGAACUUUUGAAGUCCUGCAGGAUUCACAUCAUUCCACUGACACGUGACAGAGCAGACAACCUGCUUUCCAGACCAGCAUCUUCCACUAAUUAACCAUGUGAUCUAAUGUAUUAGUUUGUUUUCAUGCUGCUGACAAAGACAUACCCAAGACUGGGAAGAAGAAGAGGUUUAAUGGACUUACAGUUCCACAUGGCUGGGGAGGCCUCACAAUCACGGCAGAAGGCAAAGGAGGAGCAAGUCACGUCUUACAUGGAUGGCAGCAGGCAAAGAGAGAGCUUGUGUAGGGGAGCUCCUCUUUAUAAAACCAUCAGAUCUCGUGAGACUAAUUCACUGUCACGAGAACAGCACGGGAAAGACUUGACCCCAUAAUUCAAUUACCUCCCACUGGGUCCCUCCCACAACACGUGGGAAUUCAAGAUGAGAUUUGCGUGGGGACACAUCCAAACCACAUCACCUAAGAAAGAAAGUUGUCCUCUCUGAGUCUCAGUUUCCUCAUCUAUAAAAGGGGAUGAUAAUCCCUGCUUUGCCUCCAGUGAGGGGGUGUCAUGGGGCUCAGAUGUAAAUGCCUGGGACACAUGAGGAGAAUGGCUAUGAGUACUCGACCCAAAUCCAGCGGGGCUUCAGCCCUUGAUGGGUUAGGUGCACAAGCUCCUGUCAGAGUCAGGUGGACUGGCAGAGAAAAUCCACAAGAGAAACAAAGGCAGCAUUCUGGAAGCAGGAACACAGGUGAGGGGCCACCCUGCUUCCCAGCUGGGAAGGAUGCUGAAACAGAAGGCUCUGGAUGGGAGUGGGGAAGCAGAUGCCUCCCAGGAACAACAAUGACAAAUUCUAUAAAUGCCCAAGGCCUGACCACACCUGCGUCAAAAGAUAAAACAGAAUUUUCAAACACUCCAAGCCGAGGAUGCAGGAUUUGAUCCAUAUGGCCCCAUGGGACCCCUCUGCCCCUCUGGAGGCUCAGCCUGAACCACAGUGCUGCUCCCGCUGCGUCUCCUGGAAAAUCGCUCCUUAGGACCAGUGCUCAGGGGGCUUGCUGGGAAAACAAGGGAGCACCUCUGCAGCUCUCCUUACCCAUUUCCAGAUGGCCCUUCUAAUGGGAUAUGUAUCAGUGGACACGGCCAACAGGGUGCCUGUUUCCCCACAGUCUUGCCCAUUGGGAUAUUCACAUUACAACAGUGUUUAAAACUGCUAACCGAGCAGGUACAAAGCGGCAGCACAGAGAGCAUAUUCUCUUCAUAAAAGCCCAGGUCCCUGAAUCGGGCAGGCUUAGUUUGAAUCCUCUUUCUGUGAUUUUUCUAACUGUAGGAUCUUGGGCAAGUUACUUAACCUCUCUGUGCCUCAAUUUAAAAUAACAUUAUUAAUUGUUAAUAAAAUAAUAAUAAUAGAUACAGGCCAGGCACGGUGGCUCACACCUGUAAUCCCAGCACUUUGGGAGGCCGAGGCAGGCGGAUCACUUGAGGUCAGGAGUUUGAGAACAGCCUGGACAACAUGGCGAAACCCCUUCUCUACUAAAAAUACACACACACAAAAUAGCCAAGCAUGGUGGCAUAUGCCCAUAGUCUCAGUUAUUUGGGAGGCUGAGGCAUGAGAAUCGAGAAUCUCUUGAACACAGGAGGUGUGGGUCACAGUGAGCCGUGAUUGUGCCACUGCACUCCAGCCUGGGCGACAGAGCGAGACUCUGCCUCAAAAAAAAAAAGGAAAGAAUAAAAGAAAAAAUAAAAAUAAAACAAAAUAGAAAUAAUAAUAGUAUCUCUCUGCUAUGGUUUGGAUGUGGUUUGUUUGGCCCCAGCGUGUCUCAUGUUGAAAUGUGAUCCCAGUGUUGGAAGUGGGGCCUGGUGGGAGGUGUCUGGAUCCUGGUGGAAGGGCCCUUCUGGUAAGUGAGCUCUCACUUUGUUCUGCAAGAACUGCUUGUUAGAAAGAGCCUGGCACCCCUUCCUCUCUCUCCUGCCAUGUGAAGCCUGCUUGCCUUUGCCUUCCCCCAUGAGUGGAGGCAGCCUGAGGCCUCACCAGUGCAGAUGCUGGCACCACGUAAACAUGCAGAACCACGAGCCACAUAAACCUCUAUUCUUUCUAAAUUACCCAGCCUCAGGUGUUCCUUUAUGGCAAUGCAAAACACACUAGGAUCCUUCCUCAUACAGUUGUUGGGCUCAUUUUUAUUAACACUUACAUGGUAAACAGUAUUAUUUUAUUAAUAAUAAAUCGCCAUUUAUCAAGUGUUUACUUGGUGUCAUUAUGCCAAGUACAAGGCUGUACAGCAUAGAGGUCAAUGGCACAAACUCGGGUAGAGACAGGUCUGAAUCCGGUUCUAUCACUGACAAACUGUGUGACCUUGAGCAGGUCACUUAACUGCUCCAGCCCCCAGUUUCCUUAUCUGUAAAAUGAGUAUAAUACUCAGGAGUCGGCUGUGGGGCAAGUUAAUGUGUGUAAAGCACUUAGACCAGUACUCUGGCCCAUAAGUACCACGUAAGUGUUGGCUGCUGUUGUUUACUCAGAGCCUGGCAAGUCCCUAACCCUCAGUAGACAGGCUAUGAUGGGAGGGGUGCCCCUAGUGCUGAGGGAGGCACCUGCCAGCCCAGCUGGACAGUGGGGCUCGGGGCUCCCUCUAGCCCUCUGAUGGACACAGAAGGAAAAAGCUGGGUGGAAGCUCAAAGACGCACUUGUGGGCUUCAGUGGGAGGGAAUGAAGGUGGAACACACUCUUCUUUCAUGGAGUCUGUUCCCCAACAAGAAUCCCUUCGACACUGAGCUACUGGAAGGGUUAAAGUGAAUACAACUUUUACACAUUCUCCUUCAGAAGUCCCAUGAUGUAGAACUUCCCAGUGCAAAGCUUUGGCCAGAUGCUGCAGGAACUCCCGUGCCUUCCCAAGGGUUCCCCACACACCCUGCCUCCUCCCUCCCUUCGGAAGGAUGGUUUAAUGGCUGAAGUGGGCUCUUAGCUACAAAGGCAUGCUCUGAAUCUCUCUGAACUUCACUUAGGUCAUACACAAGGUUCUGUGCACCCAGUAUACAAGGAGCAACAACAGCAAACAGCAAAACCUCUCUCUCAGCCGAGUCUCUCCGGGCACCGGUGUGUCUGGGCAGCCUGGCAGGGGCCCUCACCACUGGACCAUAUAUUCAAAACACACCUUUACUGAGAGCCCAGGACUGCAAGGUUAUAGGCACCAGGAGUCAACGAGACAGGAGAUAAAGUUUACAUCUCAGCAGGACACAGACAAACCAAAGUAAAAGAUCGUGAUAAGUGCUUUGCAGAGAAUUUCAAUAGGUAAUAAAAUAGAGGAGAAGGACAGACGGGUCCUGCUUCGGACUGGGUGGUUAGGGAAGAGCUCUGGAGAAGCAGACAUUUACGUUGAAGCUGGAAAGACAAGAAAGAGGCAGCUGUGAAAAAUCAGGAGGGAGAGCAUUCUGGGCAGAGGAAUGGAGAGAAACUCUGUGCAGCUAGACAGGAGUGAACAGGAGACGAGAGAUGGGGUCUCGCUAUGUGGUCCAGGCUGGUCUCGAACUCCUGGCCUCAAGCGAUACUCCUACCUCAGGUUCCCAAAGUAUUAGGAUUACAGGUGUGGGCCACCAAGAGCUCUGGCCCAGAGGAGUGUUUUAAACAAAGGAGGAACAAGAUGUCAUUUACAUUUGUGAAUGAUCCCUCUGGCUGCUCGUUAGAGAUGGGCAGGGCAGGACCACAGAAGAAGUGGAGAGGAUGACAGCCAGGAGGCUGCUGGACUCAAGACCUAGUUUAAAUAAGGAAGCAUUUACAGGACUCUCAAAAGGAAUGGAU
rnacentral:lncRNA from 10 species